GGGGAGAUGUGAAAAUUAAUGCCGAGUUUGUCAUGGCGUCCAUUCACCCUCAGCUGAGUGAGAAGGGAACCUCCAAGCAUCAGUUUGAGCUGGACCUGGUUAACUUCAUUCAGGACUUGCUUUAUGAGUCAGAAGAAGGUCAAGAACAUGUAGCUGACGAAGAUGGCCCAAGAUCUAUCACACCUGCCAGGUUUCUGCAAUGGAUCACCGGUCAAGGCCAUGUUCCUCUCCUCCC